UCCGGUAGGGUGAACCCAGGUGGGUCGCAAGCACCGCUUGAGGGGCAGAUAAUAUUCUAGAGUUGGAUGCUAGUCCAGCACAUAACUGGAGAUUAGAGCCAGAUACACUCUCUCUCUCCCUCGCACACAGUAAGAGAGGCAGGCAGCUAGAUGGCCCCUCUGUAACGUCACUGAAACGUCUUCACCGGGCAACGACUUAGCCCCCAGAUGCGGCUUUUCUCCCCCACGCUUCCGGAUGAGAGAGAGAGUGUAUUGUAGCAGCAGUAGCUGCCGGUUCUAGGGUGGGAAUCUCUAGGUGCCUUAACCUGGCGAUCGAUCGAUCGCCGGAUGGCCCAUAUAAGCAGGAGGACAUGCUGCAGUGCUCCUCCAGUGCUCAUCUCUGCCAGUGUUCCUCCGCUCCCCUUCGUCACACCCUCGCUGCUUCUAUUCCGUUUCUGGCCUUGGUCCACGAUUCCUGCGUCCUGCACACCAGGCACCGGUAGUGAGUGCGCGUUGGGAGCCUAAUUAACAGACCGAUUAGUCUCCGAAGUAGAGGAUAGCAUGUACCCUUGUGUGUCGAUCCUCUGUAAGAGGUUGGAGGUGUCCUGGAUGGGAGAGGAGGGAGGGAGAGAAAGAGAAAAAAAGAACCUGUCCUGUGAGCAUGGUGGACUUUCUACGCAGGUCUGUGGUUGCGAUGCGGAUUUCGUGAUCAAGUCUGCUGCUCACGGUGCUCGGUUCAUGAUGACCUGUAGAUCCAUUGUACUGAUUCCGAAGGAGAAGACAGUCUCUGACUUCUCGCAGAGUGAGCCUGUUUCUGCAGUACUGGAACGAUUGGUUGAGACCACUGGCACUAGGCAAAAACCUUGUUUCUGGUGACUUGGUCUGGGAUCGUACAGAGCUGCAGAACGCUUGACAUGCGGGAAAUCAGAGACAGUCGCUUCCUUUGGUUUCUAAUUGUCACCAUCAGGCUACGAAGUAACUCGAUCAGCUGGUAUUCGGAGCUUGACAACCAAUUGAAAUUAUUGUAUUUUGUACUUUCUUCGUGCAACUCACUCAGGCCGUUCCAAUCUACGCAGGUUUUUCUGACCCACGAAUAAUUGUUAGGUUUGGUAGGUGAGCAACAGUAAAAAUGAAUGGAGAUAGGUUAAUACCGUACCGCUGGCAACCACCACUUCAGGCUUAUUCGAUUCAGAUAUGGUGUGGCUGGCUUGCUAAGUACGCCAGCUUGCGGUUUGUUUUGAUCAGCCAUGGACUUCGUCACACGUAUCAAUUUAACAUCGUGCGGGAAGCAGCUUUUACCGCAAAUUAGGAAGAAGAAAAUGUUAGGUUUAUCGAAACUAUCUAGUUGUAGAGUCAUGAAUGUUCUGCUGCUGAAAGAAUAAAUUUUCAGGGAACUUUUUUCAUACCUAAGAAUCAUUCCUGUGUUGUGUGGUCUGAACAAGAGUAUUUCUGAAAGUACGCUGCCUUCCGAAUGUCACAUUGAUGGAUUGCAAACUACCGAAUCUGUCAGUUGCAAGUCUUAAAUUCACAGAAAAAAACACUGCUGAUAUAUUUUAGUGCCUCCUCAAAUUAUCGCCUAAAUUUCUGAUAUCUGAUGACGUACUGGGACUGGUAAUAUCAUUUCCAAAUUGUAGAUUAUCAGCAGAUUGUCGGAAUAUAGUGUGAUCAUCUGUCCUCCGUACUACCUCGUAUGGCCUUGCAAUGUUCCUGAUUCAAUAAGACUCAUCAUGAUUCUUGCUGUGAUCAUGGUUUCAGAUCUCUCUGGCGAUUAGUACCCAACAUGUCGAAAAAAAUUCAUGUGCUGAUAACAGUCAUCCUUUCGGGGUCCAAAUAGCACACAAGGGAAAAACCCUCCACACGCAAGCAAAGGAUCUCGUCCAAUCAUAAUCAUCAUUUGACCUCGAGGAGGCCCAGCUACAACUAUCUAGUUAAACCUACUCUGAUGGGGAGGUGCUCUCAGUUAAGCAGGAGAGCCAGUGGUGUCCCUCUUCGACAGUAGUCAUCGUCACAAGUAGUUUGUGAAAAGAUGGAAUAUGACUGUUCCCCGAUGUAACAGUUUUCGCUUCGUCCAGCUAGAGAAGUUCUGAAGCUGAGUUGGCUUCUCACAUCAAAGAGGACAAUAGUAGCCAUACUAGUGGGCUGAUACAGUACCAGGAAAGUCAUAACAAACGUUGAAUGCACACCACAUGCAGAUUCUGCUGCCUAACAGUUAACACUCAACAACUAGACGAGUACUGACACAACUUUUAACCCUUUUGGAUUUUCAAUUGCAAGAGAUAAAAAUUCCUAUUUCA